CAAUAGCGUAUAUUAAAGUUGUUGCGGUUAAAAAGCUCGUAGUUGGAUUUCUGCUGAGAACGACCGGUCCGCCCUUUGGGUGUGUAUCUGGCUCUUUCUUGGCAUCUUCUUGGUGAACGUUGCUGCACUUGACUGUGUGGAGCGCUACCCAGGACUUUUACUUUGAGGAAAUUAGAGUGUUUCAAGCAGGCAUACGCCUUGAAUACAUUAGCAUGGAAUAAUAAGAUAGGAUCUCGGUUCUAUUUUGUUGGUUUCUAGAGCUGAGGUAAUGAUUAAUAGGGAUAGUUGGGGGCAUUCGUAUUUAACUGUCAGAGGUGAGAUUCUUGGAUUUGUUAAAGACGGACUACUGCGAAAGCAUUUGCCAAGGAUGUUUNCAUUG
rnacentral:rRNA from 1 species